rnacentral:rRNA from 1 species
GACGAACGCUGGCGGCGUGCUUAACACAUGCAAGUCGAACGGAAAGGCCCUGCUUUUGUGGGGUGCUCGAGUGGCGAACGGGUGAGUAACACGUGAGUAACCUGCCCUUGACUUUGGGAUAACUUCAGGAAACUGGGGCUAAUACCGGAUAGGAGCUCCUGCUGCAUGGUGGGGGUUGGAAAGUUUCGGCGGUUGGGGAUGGACUCGCGGCUUAUCAGCUUGUUGGUGGGGUAGUGGCUUACCAAGGCUUUGACGGGUAGCCGGCCUGAGAGGGUGACCGGCCACAUUGGGACUGAGAUACGGCCCAGACUCCUACGGGAGGCAGCAGUGGGGAAUAUUGCACAAUGGGCGGAAGCCUGAUGCAGCAACGCCGCGUGCGGGAUGACGGCCUUCGGGUUGUAAACCGCUUUCGCCUGUGACGAAGCGUGAGUGACGGUAAUGGGUAAAGAAGCACCGGCUAACUACGUGCCAGCAGCCGCGGUGAUACGUAGGGUGCGAGCGUUGUCCGGAUUUAUUGGGCGUAAAGGGCUCGUAGGUGGUUGAUCGCGUCGGAAGUGUAAUCUUGGGGCUUAACCCUGAGCGUGCUUUCGAUACGGGUUGACUUGAGGAAGGUAGGGGAGAAUGGAAUUCCUGGUGGAGCGGUGGAAUGCGCAGAUAUCAGGAGGAACACCAGUGGCGAAGGCGGUUCUCUGGGCCUUUCCUGACGCUGAGGAGCGAAAGCGUGGGGAGCGAACAGGCUUAGAUACCCUGGUAGUCCACGCUGUAAACGGUGGGUACUAGGUGUGGGGUCCACUCCACGGGUUCCGUGCCGUAGCUAACGCUUUAAGUACCCCGCCUGGGGAGUACGGCCGCAAGGCUAAAACUCAAAGGAAUUGACGGGGCCCCGCACAAGCGGCGGAGCAUGCGGAUUAAUUCGAUGCAACGCGUAGAACCUUACCUGGGUUUGACAUGGAUCGGGAGUGCUCAGAGAUGGGUGUGCCUCUUUUGGGGUCGGUUCACAGGUGGUGCAUGGCUGUCGUCAGCUCGUGUCGUGAGAUGUUGGGUUAAGUCCCGCAACGAGCGCAACCCUUGUUCACUGUUGCCAGCACGUUAUGGUGGGGACUCAGUGGAGACCGCCGGGGUCAACUCGGAGGAAGGUGGGGAUGACGUCAAGUCAUCAUGCCCCUUAUGUCCAGGGCUUCACGCAUGCUACAAUGGCUGGUACAGAGAGUGGCGAGCCUGUGAGGGUGAGCGAAUCUCGGAAAGCCGGUCUCAGUUCGGAUUGGGGUCUGCAACUCGACCUCAUGAAGUCGGAGUCGCUAGUAAUCGCAGAUCAGCAACGCUGCGGUGAAUACAAUCCCGGGGCU